rnacentral:rRNA from 1 species
GGCGGGACACGUGAUAUCCUGUCUGAAUAUGGGGGGACCAUCCUCCAAGGCUAAAUACUACUGACUGACCGAUAGUGAACCAGUACCGUGAGGGAAAGGCGAAAAGAACCCCUGUGAGGGGAGUGAAAUAGAACCUGAAACCGUGUACGUACAAGCAGUAGGAGCAGGCUUUGUCCUGUGACUGCGUACCUUUUGUAUAAUGGGUCAGCGACUUAUAUUCAGUGGCAAGGUUAACCAUCUAGGGGAGCCGUAGGGAAACCGAGUCUUAACUGGGCGUUCAGUCUCUGGAUAUAGACCCGAAACCAGGUGAUCUAGCCAUGGGCAGGUUGAAGGUUGAGUAACAUCAACUGGAGGACCGAACCGACUAAUGUUGAAAAAUUAGCGGAUGACUUGUGGCUAGGGGUGAAAGGCCAAUCAAACCUGGAGAUAGCUGGUUCUCCCCGAAAGCUAUUUAGGUAGCGCCUCGGACGAAUACUACUGGGGGUAGAGCACUGUUAAGGCUAGGGGGUCAUCCCGACUUACCAACCCUUUGCAAACUCCGAAUACCAGUAAGUACUAUCCGGGAGACACACGGCGGGUGCUAACGUCCGUCGUGGAGAGGGAAACAACCCAGACCGCCAGCUAAGGUCCCAAAUUACUACUAAGUGGGAAACGAUGUGGGAAGGCUCAGACAGCCAGGAUGUUGGCUUAGAAGCAGCCAUCAUUUAAAGAAAGCGUAAUAGCUCACUGGUCGAGUCGGCCUGCGCGGAAGAUGUAACGGGGCUAAGUAGUAAACCGAAGCUGCGGCAAUAUACUUUUGUAUAUUGGGUAGGGGAGCGUUCUGUAAGCGGUUGAAGGUGUGUGGUAACGCAUGCUGGACGUAUCAGAAGUGCGAAUGCUGACAUGAGUAACGAUAAAGGGGGUGAAAAACCUCCUCGCCGGAAGACCAAGGGUUCCUGUCCAACGUUAAUCGGGGCAGGGUAAGUCGACCCCUAAGGCGAGGCCGAAAGGCGUAGUCGAUGGGAAACGGGUUAAUAUUCCCGUACUUCUUACAAUUGCGAUGGGGGGACGGAGAAGGCUAGGUGGGCCUGGCGACGGUUGUCCAGGUUCAAGUGCGUAGGCUUAAGAGUUAGGUAAAUCCGGCUCUUUUUAAGGCUGAGACACGACGUCGAGCACCUACGGGUGUGAAGUCAUUGAUGCCAUGCUUCCAGGAAAAGCCUCUAAGCUUCAGAUUGUAAGGAAUCGUACCCCAAACCGACACAGGUGGUCGGGUAGAGAAUACCAAGGCGCUUGAGAGAACUCGGGUGAAGGAACUAGGCAAAAUGGUACCGUAACUUCGGGAGAAGGUAC